rnacentral:rRNA from 1 species
GAGUAGCUUGCUACUUUGCUGACGACCGGCGCACGGGUGCGUAACGCGUAUACAAUCUACCUUUAGCUGAGGGAUAGCCCAGAGAAAUUUGGAUUAACACCUCAUGGUAUAUACUUAUGGCAUCAUAAUUAUAUUAAAGGUUACGGCUAAAGAUGAGUAUGCGUCCUAUUAGCUAGUAGGUUUGGUAACGGCAGACCUAGGCGACGAUAGGUAGGGGCCCUGAGAGGGGGAUCCCCCACACUGGUACUGAGACACGGACCAGACUCCUACGGGAGGCAGCAGUGAGGAAUAUUGGACAAUGGGCGGAAGCCUGAUCCAGCCAUGCCGCGUGCAGGAAGACUGCCCUAUGGGUUGUAAACUGCUUUUAUAUAGGAAGAAACCCCUGGUCGGGCAUCAGGGCUGACGGUACUAUAAGAAUAAGCAUCGGCUAACUCCGUGCCAGCAGCCGCGGUAAUACGGAGGAUGCAAGCGUUAUCCGGAAUCAUUGGGUUUAAAGGGUCCGUAGGUGGACAGAUAAGUCAGAGGUGAAAUCCUGCAGCUCAACUGUAGAAUUGCCUUUGAUACUGUUUGUCUUGAGUCAUUAUGAAGUGGUUAGAAUGUGUAGUGUAGCGGUGAAAUGCAUAGAUAUUACACAGAAUACCGAUUGCGAAGGCAGAUCACUAAUAAUGUACUGACACUAAGGGACGAAAGCGUGGGGAGCGAACAGGAUUAGAUACCCUGGUAGUCCACGCCGUAAACAAUGGUCACUAGCUGUUCGGCAUUUAUGCUGAGUGGCUAAGCGGAAGUGAUAAGUGACCCACCUGGGGAGUACGUUCGCAAGAAUGAAACUCAAAGGAAUUGA